CUAUUUGUCCCCGUGUCAGUUUCAGUUUGUUGGUUAGCUUUUCAGUAAGGCCAUUUCCCAUACAAGUUGAUACCGUUGGUCCAUGUUUACUCUUGAGGGGUCUUUCCAGUGUCUGGCUAUGAGGCUACUGGCUGCUGAGAGCAGGUGGGUUAUAGGCUCUGUAUAAUGUGAGUGGUCAUUACGAUCUUGGAAGAUGUUCAGUAGAGUCAGUUCUGGGGUGAGUUCUAAUACCUGUUUAGUUAUUUUGCAUAUCUCUUGUAGGACUGCUGUUCAGAAGGGUUGGAUUUUAGGGCACCCCCACCACAUGUGGAGGUAUGUGCCUGUGGAGGUGCAGCCUCUCCAAAAUCUUGGUGAGGUUCCUGGGCAUAUCAGUGCCAGUUUCUGUGGUGUUAAGUACCACCUGUAGGUGAGUUUCAGAGUGAGUUCCCUUAUUUUGACUGAUACAGACUUAAAGGGAGGUUUAGACAAUAUUCUAGUCCAUUGGGUGGGGUUAAUUUCAUAGCCUAUUUCAUGCUCCCAUUGUUCUUUGAUUGCGUCAAGGGGGUUGUAGAAUUUUGGAGCAGUAUUUUGUAUAUUGUGGACACCAUUCCCUUGCCGUGUCCCUCUGUUGUCAGUACAAGGUUUUCGAAGGUGGUCAAGUGCCUAGUGGCUGCUGAUUUUACUGCUGGAUUGUUUAAGAAGGCAUGUAGUUGAUGGCAUGUAGCUAAGGUAUUUGGGUGUCCCCAGCUUGUUUUGUAUUUCUUGUGUUGGUAUGGGCGUGUUGUUUUUGUAGAAGUCUUUUAGACAGUGUAGGCCUUUGGCUUGCCAGGUUUUUAUCUGGAGGUUUUGUGCUGUGUGUCGGAAUAGUCAGAUGGGGAUAGUUUGCCUACUUUGCCCUGUAUGAACCUGUUCAGUGUUGUGGGGAUUUUCUUUCGUUUGUUUUGGAGAAAUGGCUUCUUGCAUAAAAUCCAGAAUGCUGUGGCUCUCUGUGUUUGUGUAUCCUGUUGAGUGGCAAGCCUUUGUUAUCUCUUCUCUUUUUAUCUUGAGGUCAAAACAAUGAUGUUAUACAUCACGGCGGCAGCCCUACCUUCAUUUCCUGAACAUCUUUGCUCAGGGCAGGUGUCAAAAAGAGAAAAUUGUCUUGCAGCUGUCUAUUAUAGAAUGAGUGCUCUGAAGAGUAUUUAUUUAUACCAUCUAUGCUAAGAAAUUGUGAUGUGGAAGAGAAACAGCAGCUUUUCUUCUUCUUUACUCUGUCCUAAACUUGAGCUGCAUGUUAGCAAACUGUCACCAUGAAUUUGUUCUCUGCUUCAUUCCAAAGUCUGAGAAAUAAGAGCAGCUAUUAGUGGAAACUACCAUAUUUUUCCGUGUAUAACAUGCCCCCAGGUAUAAGACGACGCCUUUUUUUUUU